CAGGAAAUAGUUUAGUAAAAAUUCUGGUUUUGGAGGCCAGCGUCGGUAUAUGCCUUUCCUGA
rnacentral:tRNA from 1 species